GCGCCCGUAGCUCAAUUGGAUAGAGUAUCGGACUUCUAAUCCGCUGGCUGGGGGUUCGAAUCCCCCCGGGCGCACCA
rnacentral:tRNA from 3 species